rnacentral:rRNA from 1 species
CCUACGGGGGGCAGCAGUGAGGAAUAUUGGUCAAUGGACGAGAGUCUGAACCAGCCAAGUAGCGUGAAGGAUGACUGCCCUAUGGGUUGUAAACUUCUUUUAUAAAGGAAUAAAACGCGGCACGUGUGCCUUUUUGCAUGUACUUUAUGAAUAAGGAUCGGCUAACUCCGUGCCAGCAGCCGCGGUAAUACGGAGGAUCCGAGCGUUAUCCGGAUUUAUUGGGUUUAAAGGGAGCGUAGAUGGGUUGUUAAGUCAGUUGUGAAAGUUUGCGGCUCAACCGUAAAAUUGCAAUUGAUACUGGCAGUCGUGAGUACAGUUGAGGUAGGCGGAAUUCGUGGUGUAGCGGUGAAAUGCUUAGAUAUCACGAAGAACCCCGAUUGCGAAGGCAGCUUACUAAACUGUGACUGACAUUGAUGCUCGAAAGUGUGGGUAUCAAACAGGAUUAGAUACCCGGGUAGUC